rnacentral:tmRNA from 1 species
CCACUUGCAAAUCGAUGAAUUUCAAUCUAAAUGUGAGAUGUUCCAUUUGGAACUAUGGACAUAAACGCGCUCGUAAUAAGCGGAUCGGACCCGGGGGCGGUACCCGGCGGCUCCACCAUAAUUCUUCGUUGGAGAACACAUGGGGCCGAAACAGGAUCGACGAACGUGUAAAGGUGUGGCUUUGUCUCGGUGAGGUACCACCGUUAUCGGUCCGUUAAGCAUAAUUGCCAACGACAAUCGUGCUCCGGUUGCACUCGCCGCUUGAGCGGUGAGGGAUACCGAAUUUUAAGCCCUGAUCUCUAGCAUGAUCAGGCGGGGUCCGCGGGUACCUGGCAACAGAAUCCCGCUUUU